rnacentral:rRNA from 1 species
GUAGGUGGCAAGCGUUGUCCGGAAUUAUUGGGCGUAAAGCGCGCGCAGGGCGGUCCUUUAAGUCUGAUGUGAAAGCCCACGGCUCAACCGUGGAGGGUCAUUGGAAACUGGGGGACUUGAGUACAGAAGAGGAAAGCGGAAUUCCAAGUGUAGCGGUGAAAUGCGUAGAGAUUUGGAGGAACACCAGUGGCGAAGGCGGCUUUCUGGUCUGUAACUGACGCUGAGGCGCGAAAGCGUGGGGAGCAAACAGGAUUAGAUACCCUGGUAGUCCACGCCGUAAACGAUGAGUGCUAAGUGUUAGGGGGUUUCCGCCCCUUAGUGCUGCAGCUAACGCAUUAAGCACUCCGCCUGGGGAGUACGGCCGCGAGGCUG